rnacentral:rRNA from 1 species
GAUGAACGCUGGCGGCGUGCCUAAUACAUGCAAGUCGAGCGAACGGACGAGAAGCUUGCUUCUCUGAUGUUAGCGGCGGACGGGUGAGUAACACGUGGAUAACCUACCUAUAAGACUGGGAUAACUUCGGGAAACCGGAGCUAAUACCGGAUAAUAUUUUGAACCGCAUGGGUCAAAAGUGAAAGACGGUCUUGCUGUCUCUUAUAGAUGGAUCCGCGCUGCAUUAGGUAGUUGGUAAGGUAAAGGCGUACCACGGCGACGAUGCAUAGACGAGCUGAGGGGGUGAUCGGCCACAUUGGAACUGAGACACCGUCCAUACUCCUGCGGUAGGCAGCAGUCGGGAAUCUUCCGCAAUGGGCGAGAGCCUUACGGAGCAACGCCGCGUGUGUGGUGAAGGUCUUCGGAUCGUAAAACUCUGUUAUUAGGUAAGAACAUAUUUGUAAGUAACUGUGCACAUCUUGACGGUACCUAAUCAGAAAGCCACGGCUAACUACGUG